GACGAACGCUGGCGGCGUGCUUAACACAUGCAAGUCGAGCGGUAAGGCUCCUUAGGGAGUACACGCGCGGCGAACGGGUGAGUAACCCGUGAGCAAUCUGCCCUCCACUUUGGGAUAACUUCCGGAAACGGAAGCUAAUACCGCAUACGACCACUUCAGGCAUCUGAUGGUGGUGGAAAGUUCCGGCGGUGAAGGAUGAGCCCGCGGCCUAUCGGCUUGUUGGUGAGGUAAUGGCUCACCAAGGCUUCGGCGGGUAGCCGGCCUGAGAGGGUGACCGGCCACACUGGGACUGAGACACGGCCCAGACGCCUACGGGAGGCAGCAGGGGGGAAUAUUGGACAAUGGGCGAAAGCCUGAUCCAGCAACGCCGCGUGAGGGAUGACGGCCUUCGGGUUGUAAACCUAUUUCAGCGGGGACGAAGCGAAAGUGACGGUACCCGCAGAAGAAGCACCGGCCAACUACGUGCCAGCCGCCGCGGUAAGAC
rnacentral:rRNA from 1 species